GAGUUGCAAAAUUUAAGUGGUGAAAGGUCAAAGUCAUCCUUCAAGAUUAAAGGUAAAAACAAAUCCAAUUGAAGUAACACGCUUAAAAGGGAGAUAAUUUAUAUUUAGCAUUUGGCAGGUACAGAUCAUUUUUACAAGGGAAGUAGUAUUUGUAAAGGGUUAUAAUCAAAAACAAAAAUAUAUAAUCAAAGCAGCGCAGUAGUGGCAUUGUGUUUCUGACAAACACAUCUCUUGUUAAAAAAAGAAUUACACAUUGCUAUGAACUGUACUUUACUAUGUAUUUUUCGUGGUUUUAAACCCAAAAAUUUUAAUAUUAAGUUUUUUGGGCAUAACAUAUUGAUACAACGCUAUUCUGAGUUCUUAUUGGUAAAACAAUAAUUGCAAUAUUCUAAAUAUCAAUUAUAGACGCAACGUUUGGCAUUGAAGAGCAGGUGUGUUAAGUAUUUUGUUGCAGGGCAAAUUUAUUUGUCACUAAGUCUAAACCAAUCGGGUUUUAGUUUACUUUCUAUUUUCUUUUCAGCAAACACUAUAAGCCGCCAAGAUAAAAACAUCGUUGAAGUGAAAGUCGAUGACAAUCCUGACCCCUUCGCUUAAGUAAUUCAGCACAAAAACGUCUUGCGUCAGAGUAGCAAGUCCCCAAACAUCUUCUCCCAUGUUGGCUUCAUCAACACUUCUUACAGCGGAGCCUUGGGAGUUUGACUUCCAUCCCAGCAUCGAUGUUGCUUAGCAACAAUUCAAUGCUGGGUAUUGACAAAUUGUUCUAGACGAGUCGCUUACACAGAAACAAUCUGAUCCAACAGAUAGAGCAGGUGUUGCGUGACUUGUCCCUUAUUGCGACUGACCUCGAUAAGUUGCUCUCGAAUAAUGUUAACCUUAUGCCAGUAUGGGAUUGACGCCAUUUAACAACAGUUGUUGUUGAGAAUUCCCGGGUUUGAGGUGGCAACUUUGGCGUCGGGACUCGCUCCAUCUCUGUCUAUGGCCCAGUCAAAGCAGCAGCAGCAGCAAUAAGAACAACAAGUAGUAUCUGAGCGGUGCUCUGGGAUACGGGGCUUCAUAGCCUGUUCCUCCUGGUCCAGGACCUUUGGACAAAUGUUCAAAUAGUACUACCCACAGGAUGAAGCCACUCUGAAUCCGGGGCUCCAUACUUUCUUGGCCAGGGGCCAAGACUACCUCGUCAAUAAGCAGAGCCCCAGCAUUGAUAUCGAGUUGGCCCAGCAACCGCACCAGUCCCGCCUGCAGGAGCCCCAGUCCAGAAUGACACUUCCCCUCCCUUGACUUCUAGCUCCUCCCCCUUGACCUUCUGCCUCAAAAAGUCAGCAUCGUUGAACAACUCUGUUCUGCAGGAAAUUCUGAGCAUGAUUCUGUUCUGACAAACGCAAUGUCCACGUCAUGUUUUCCAAACAUAAGCCUGGGUAGUUUUGUUAAGCUAGAGUUCCGCGUGGGCCUGAAAGGGACGAGUGUUACAGACACGAAAAGUUAAAGCAGUAGUUAUGGUAACGCUAACAGUCAGUUGUUGCUGUUGGACAUCACAACAAAAAUCAUGAAGAAUAAAAAGUUCAAUAACUUGUUCCAAUCUCUAUGGGACAAACAGAAAUUGAUCAGGAGAAAAUCAAGGAAUAAUAAAAGCGUAAGCUUUCCUAGUGGAAUACUUCUGCUGUUGAUAGAUUGGACAACAGUAGGGUUACGGACUGCCCCAUAUUGUCCUCUCAGCGGCCACAAUAUCAUAAUAGAACGGACUUUGGCAAUGUUACUGACAAACAAAAGGCAAUAAUGACUUGGUUGUGAACACCCAGAGCACAAUACAUCCAUGCUGACACAUAAAGGCAGUAAUGACUUGGUUGUGAACACCCAGAGCAAAAUACAUCCAUGCUGACACAGAAAGGCAGUAAUGACUUGGUUGUGAACACCCAGAGCAAAAUACAUCCAUGCUGACACAUAAAGGCAGUAAUGACUUGGUUGUGAACACCCAGAGCAAAAUACAUCCAUGCUGACACAUAAAGGCAGUAAUGACUUGGUUGUGAACAUCCAGAGCACGAUACAUCCAUGCUGACACAGAAAGGCAGUAAUGACUUGGCUGUAAACACCCAGAGCACAAUACAUCCAUGCUGACACAUAAAGGCAGUAAUGACUUGGUUGUGAACACCUCAAGCACGAUACAUCCAUGCUGACACAUAAAGGCAGUAAUGACUUGGUUGUGAACAUCCAGAGCACGAUACACCCAUGCUGACACAGAAAGGCAGUAAUGACUUGGCUGUAAACACCCAGAGCACAAUACAUCCAUGCUGACACAUAAAGGCAGUAAUGACUUGGUUGUGAACACCUCAAGCACGAUACAUCCAUGCUGACACAUAAAGGCAGUAAUGACUUGGUUGUGAACAUCCAGAGCACGAUACAUCCAUGCUGACACAGAAAGGCAGUAAUGACUUGGUUGUGAACAUCCAGAGCACGAUACAUCCAUGCUGACACAGAAAGGAAGUAAUGACUUGGCUGUAAACACCCAGAGCACAAUACAUCCAUGCUGACACAGAAAGGAAGUAAUGACUAUGCAGUGAACACCCAGAGCACGAUACACCCAUGCUGACAC